GCCGGGCCCGUGGCUGGUGCCUGUGAUCCCAGCGGCGGGGGAGGCUGAGGCCGGCGGAUCGCUUGAGCUCAGGAGUUCUGGGCUGCAGCGGGCUGUGCCGAGCGGGUGUCCGCCCUGAGUUCGGCAUCGAUAUGGGGAUCCCGGGGAAGCUCGGGGUCCCCAGGUUGCCUAAGGAGGGGUGAACCGGCCCAGGUCGGAAACGGAGCAGGUCAAAGCUCCCGUGCCGAUCAGUAAUGGGAUCGCGCCUGUGAAUGGCCCCUGCAGCGUAGCCUGGGCGAGACAGUGAGACCCGGUCUCUU
rnacentral:SRP_RNA from 1 species